rfam:Malassezia pachydermatis strain CBS 1879 scaffold15, whole genome shotgun sequence.
GCUAGUAUAGUUUAAUGGUAGAAUCAGGUACUUCCAAUACCCGGGUUUCGGUUCAAUUCCGAAUACUAGUA